UACGUAGGGCGCAAGCGUUGUCCGGAAUCAUUGGGCGUAAAGCGCGCGUAGGCGGCCUCAUAAGUCCGUUGUGAAAGUCAAAGGCUCAACCUUUGAAAGCCGAUGGAUACUGUGAGGCUAGAGUCCGGAAGAGGCGAGUGGAAUUCCUGGUGUAGCGGUGGAAUGCGCAGAUAUCAGGAAGAACACCAAUGGCGAAGGCAGCUCUCUGGGACGGUACUGACGCUGAGACGCGAAAGCGUGGGGAGCGAACAGG
rnacentral:rRNA from 1 species